UGUUAAUAAUUUAAUCCAUUUGUACUGCUAAAAACUGACAUGGCUAAUAGAAUAAUCAUAUAGUGACACAUAACGUGUCACGUAUAUCUCAUGCUAUCGUGCAGAGAUCAAUUUUUGACAAUAAAAAUCGAUUGAAUUUUUAAUA
rfam:Gossypium arboreum cultivar AKA8401 contig_1912_1, whole genome shotgun sequence.